rnacentral:rRNA from 1 species
GAUGAACGCUGACAGAAUGCUUAACACAUGCAAGUCAACUUGGUGGCGGACGGGUGAGUAACGCGUAAAGAACUUGCCUCACGGAUAGGAACAACCUUUGGAAACGAAUGCUAAUACCUGAUACUGUGAGAGCGCUUUGCGUCCCAUUAGCUAGUUGGAGAGGUAACGGCUCACCAAGGCGAUGAUGGGUAGCCGGCCUGAGAGGGUGAUCGGCCACAAGGGGACUGAGACACGGCCCUUACUCCUACGGGAGGCAGCAGUGGGGAAUUUUGGACAAUGGGCGCAGCCUGAUGCAGCCAUGCCGCGUGUCUGAAGAAGGCCUUCGGGUUGUAAAGGACUUUUGUUAGGGACGGUACCUAAAGAAUAAGCACCGGCUAACUACGUGCCAGCAGCCGCGGUAAUUC